rnacentral:rRNA from 1 species
UUGGAGGGCAAGUCUGGUGCCAGCAGCCGCGGUAAUUCCAGCUCCAAUAGCGUAUAUUAAAGUUGUUGCAGUUAAAAAGCUCGUAGUUGAAUUUCGGGAUUGACGUAAUGGUCGUGCCUUAAGGGGUAUGAACUGUUGCUGUUGAUUUCUCACCUUCUGGAGAAACUUGAUGUCCUUAAUUGGGUGUCUUGCGGAUCCAGGACCUUUACCUUGAAAAAAUUAGAGUGUUUAAAGCAGGCAUUUUUGCUCGAAUACAUUAGCAUGGAAUAAUAGAAUAGGACGGCAUGGUUCUAUUUUGUUGGUUUCUAGGAUCACCGUAAUGAUUAAUAGGGAUAGUUGGGGGCAUUAGUAUUCAAUUGUCAGAGGUGAAAUUCUUGGAUUUAUUGUAGACUAACUACUGCGAAAGCAUUUGCCAAGGAUGUUUUCAUUAAUCAAGAACGAAAGUUAGGGGAUCGAAGACGAUCAGAUACCGUCGUAGUCUUAACCAUAAACUAUGCCGACUAGGAAUCAGACGAUGUUAAUUUUUUAAUGACUCGUUCGGCGCCUUACGGGAAAC